GGCCUCCAGAACUGUGAGAGGGUGUUUAGGGGGAAAUGCCAUUUUAUUGGUUUCCUGUGACUGCCCUACAAAUAACCACAAAGAGGCGAGGGGAGAAGUGGGGGCUGUCCCUUCCACAGAGCUGCAAUCAAGCACAAAUGACUCUAAUAGUAUCAAUUGUGAGAGAGAGAGAGAGAUUUGGAGUUCACCACAAAUUCCCCAAACAAACAAUUUUACAAGAAGGACAUGACCCGCCUGGCGUUACUGCUUAGUUCUGAAUGAGUGAUACCGACUGCAGCAGGCCUAGGACCCCACGAGAGGAGGGAUCUGGAGGCCAAGCCAGGAGCAGGACAACACCAACAGAGGCCUCAGAAGAAGACUCAGAGUGGGACAGGGGCUCCUUAAGUGAUUGGGGCUGGAAGUGCGCAGAGAAGCCCGGCGCGGCAGGGAAUUGUCUCUCCCUGGGGUGCUGCCAAGGU
rnacentral:lncRNA from 1 species